rnacentral:rRNA from 1 species
GACGAACGCUGGCGGCGUGCUUAACACAUGCAAGUCGAACGGAAAGGCCCUGCUUUUGUGGGGUGCUCGAGUGGCGAACGGGUGAGUAACACGUGAGUAACCUGCCCUUGACUUAGGGAUAACUUCAGGAAACUGGGGCUAAUACCGGAUAGGAGCUCCUGCUGCAUGGUGGGGGUUGGAAAGUUUCGGCGGUUGGGGAUGGACUCGCGGCUUAUCAGCUUGUUGGUGGGGUAGUGGCUUACCAAGGCUUUGACGGGUAGCCGGCCUGAGAGGGUGACCGGCCACAUUGGGACUGAGAUACGGCCCAGACUCCUACGGGAGGCAGCAGUGGGGAAUAUUGCACAAUGGGCGGAAGCCUGAUGCAGCAACGCCGCGUGCGGGAUGACGGCCUUCGGGUUGUAAACCGCUUUCGCCUGUGACGAAGCGUGAGUGACGGUAAUGGGUAAAGAAGAACCGGCUAACUACGUG